CAAGGUGGCUGCAACAAAGAAAAGAGGUGAUGCGACGAAAACUAUCGAGGAUAAUGCUGACAUUGAAAAUCUCGAGGAAGGAAAUAGGGUCCUGCGGCAAGGUGACUUAGGCUCGACUCAAAAGUUGCCAGAUAAUCAAUGCAUACACAAUGACAACAAUGCUAAAAGUCAUGUUCAGGUUGAUGAUACUUCUUGUGACAUAAUUUUCUUGAAAAACGAGAUUGUUCAAAUGAAGAUUAAAGC
rnacentral:ribozyme from 1 species